CACGGGGGGAGCAAGCGUUGUUCGGAAUCACUGGGCGUAAAGCGCGUGUAGGCGGCCCAUUAAGUCUGACGUGAAAGCCCGGGGCUCACCCCCGGAAGUGCAUUGGAAACUGAUGGACUCGAGUCCCGGAGAGGAGAGUGGAAUUCCUGGUGUAGCGGUGAAAUGCGUAGAUAUCAGGAGGAACACCGGUGGCGAAGGCGGCUCUCUGGACGGUGACUGACGCUGAGACGCGAAAGCGUGGGGAGCAAACAGG
rnacentral:rRNA from 1 species